rnacentral:rRNA from 1 species
GAUGAACGCUGGCGGCGUGCCUAACACAUGCAAGUCGAGCGAACCCUUCGGGGUGAGCGGCGGACGGGUGAGUAACGCGUGGGUAACCUGCCCUAUACACACGGAUAACGUACCGAAAGGUACGCUAAUACGGGAUAAAGUUGUUGGAUGGCAUCUUCUAACAAUCAAAGCUCUGGCGGUAUAGGAUGGACCCGCGUCUGAUUAGCUAGUUGGUGAGGUAAUGGCUCACCAAGGCGACGAUCAGUAGCCGACCUGAGAGGGUGAUCGGCCACACUGGAACUGAGACACGGUCCAGACUCCUACGGGAGGCAGCAGUGGGGAAUAUUGCACAAUGGGCGAAAGCCUGAUGCAGCAACGCCGCGCGAGCGAUGAAGGUCUUCGGAUCGUAAAGCUCUGUCCUCAAGGAAGAUAAUGACGGUACUUGAGGAGGAAGCCCCGGCUAACUACGUGCCAGCCGCCGCAGUAA